CAGCAGCCACGGGAAUACGGAGGGGGCUAGCGUUGUUCGGAAUUACUGGGCGUAAAGCGCACGUAGGCGGCUUGGUAAGUUAGAGGUGAAAGCCCGGAGCUCAACUCCGGAAUUGCCUUUAAGACUGCCGAGCUAGUAGGUGAGAGAGGUAAGUGGAAUUCCGAGUGUAGAGGUGAAAUUCGUAGAUAUUCGGAAGAACACCAGUGGCGAAGGCGGCUUACUGGCUCAUUCUAGACGCUGAGGUGCGAAAGCGUGGGGAGCAAGCAGGAUUAGAGACCCCGGUAGUCCCUGUCUCUUAUAC
rnacentral:rRNA from 1 species